GACUUUGUGGCUCAACAGUAGUGUGUCUGACUCCAAAUCAGAAGAUUGCAUGUUCAAAUCAUGUCGAAGUCA